CAGCAGCCGCGGUAAUACGGAGGGUGCAAGCGUUAAUCGGAAUUACUGGGCGUAAAGAGCUCGUAGGCGGUUUGUCGCGUCUGCCGUGAAAGUCCGGGGCUCAACCCCGGAUCUGCGGUGGGUACGGGCAGACUAGAGUGAUGUAGGGGAGACUGGAAUUCCUGGUGUAGCGGUGAAAUGCGCAGAUAUCAGGAGGAACACCGAUGGCGAAGGCAGGUCUCUGGGCAUUAACUGACGCUGAGGAGCGAGAGCAUGGGGAGCGAACAGGAUUAGAUACCCCCGUAGUCCCUGUCUCUUAUAU
rnacentral:rRNA from 1 species